AGCGGCAGCGGCAACGGCAGCGGCGAAGGCAGCGGCAACGGCGGGAGCCCGGCAGUGGGGCUGGGGCUGUGCCCGGGAGGACCCGGAGCCCGAGAGGAGCCGCCGCUGUAGCUGCCGCCGCCGCCGGAGGCUCCCGCUCGGCCCUAUCCAGGGAGCUGCCCGAGGAAUGAAGGGAGUGGGGUAGCUAUCUCCUCCCGGCCCCGGGAGCAGAGGAGGAGUGAGAGGGGCGGGGGCUCCGCGGGGAGCGUCCUGGCUCUGGUCAGGAUUGCAGGGGGCUCGGGGCUUCAGUCUGCACUGAGCGGCCCGACCGAUUGCAGGUCUGUUUGCCCGGGACCUCUCCGCAGCUCCUCUGGCUGGGUUGGACGGGACUCUCGUUGCUGUCGUCAUUGGAAUGUAGAUGUUUGAAACAAAGGUGUAGAAAUAAACGAAUUGUUUGGAAUUGAGCUAUGGACCUAGA